CAGCAAGCAAUGCAGGUGUAGAAGCACGGUGGCUAGGAAAAACUCCCAAGAAAGGCCAAAACCUAGGAAAAACCUAGAGAGGAACCAGGCUAUGAGAGGUGGCCAGUCCUCUUCUGGCUGUGCCGGGUGGAGAUUAUAAGAGAACAUGGCCAACAUCUUAAAAUGAUCAUAAAUUACCAGCAUGGUCAAAUAAUAAUAAUCACAGUAGUUAUUGAGGGUGGAACAAGUCAGCACCUCAGGAGUAAAUGUCAGUUGGCUUUUCAUAGCCGAUCAUUAAGAGUAUCUCUACGACUCCUGCUGUCUCUAGAAAGUUGAAAACAGGAGGUCUGGGACAGGUAGCACAUCCGGUGAACAGGUCAGGGUUCCAUAGCCGCAGGCAGAACAGUUAAAACUGGAGCAGCAGCACGGCCAGGUGGACUGGGGACAGCAAGGAGUCAUCAUGCCAGGUAGUCCUGAGGCAUGGUCCUAGGGUUCAGGUCCUCCGAGAGAGAGAAAGAGAGAAUUAGAGAGAGCAUACUUAAAUUCACACAGGACACCGGAUAAGACAGGAGAAAUACUCCAGAUAUAACAGACUGACCCUAGCCCCCCGACACAUAAACUACUGCAGCAUAAAUACUGGAGGCUGAGAUAGGAGGGGUCAGGAGACACUAUGGCCCCAUCCGAUGACACUCCCAGACAGGGCCAAACAGGCAGGAUAUAACCCCGCCCAUUUUACCAAAGCACAGCCCCACACCACUAGAGGGAUAUCUUCAACCACCAACUUACCAUCCUGAGACAAGGCAGAGUAUAGCCCACAAAGAUCUCCGCCACGGCACCACCCAAGGGGCGCCAGGCGGGGUUGAUGGGGGAAGCUGGACCGCCAGGCUUGUCUGGAUUGGAAGUAGGUUUGAAGUAGACUGGGAGGCAUUAAAGACAAACCCCAUAUUGGUUUGGAAAACUGUUAUUGCUCAGUACUCACAAUGUCUAUAAUGGCUUUGUAGAAUACUCUAUCAACCUGUUAUUGUUACAGGGUGUUCCAGGUCCUUUUGGAUGGGCUGGGGCUGAUGGACCACAAGGGUAGAAGGUAUGAUAUAGGGGGACAAAGGCCCUUAUGGUGUGGUAGGGGAUUCUGGAAACGCAGGCCUUAAGGGCGUGUCAGGAAGAAGAGGAUUGAAGGGUGACAUGGGAAAAUCUGGACCAAAGGGGCCAGAGGGUCUGCUGGGCAACAGAGGGCCCCAGGCGUCCCCUGGAUUGGAGGGUGUGUCUGGUGAGGCUGGGCUUCAGGGAGCAGUUGGCCUACCAGGACCUCUGGGACCAAAAGGUCGACCAGGCCCUGAGGGGAGACAAGGCCAGAAAGGUCAAAAGGGCAAUGAUGGUCGAAGUGGGAAUCCAGGAAAGACGGGACACAUCGUGAGGAGGGUCAGAAUGAAGCCAUGCCUUUUUCACAUAUUACAAUUUCUCAUUUCAAUGUAUAUGGGUCUUGAUUCUUGAUUCUAAAAUCUGUUUAUGUUACCAUGUAAGGGGAAAAUAGGGAAAUCUGGAAGCAGAGGCUGAAGAGGAGGGAGAGGAGAAAAGGUCAUCACUAUUGACUGAGAGACAUUCGGGCCUGAUUAUGCACUAGCCAUACCAUACAGUAUCAUGUGUCUUUAACCUUUAAAACACUGCUAAUGGUUUGCAGCGGUGAGAUCUUGUGUAAAGGUCAACAGGGUAUAACAUUUUUCUAUAGAUUGAACCUUUUCUUUGAAUUACAGGGAAAGAGGGGAGAUUUUAGUUCAACCAGACCUCCAGGAAGACAAGGGCCUUACGGGACACGUGGCAUACAAGGAGAGAAGGGUGAAAUGGGUGAACCAGGAGUCGAGGGAGAGAAGGAAGAGAUGGGACGGACAGACCCUCCUGCUGUUCAGGGGCUGGGACACAAGGCCCUUUGGGAGAGCCAGGGAGCGAUGACAUUAAAGGAGAACAGGGAGACAUUGGUCCUCAUGGGGGGUGGGGGACCCCAGGUCUAACUGGACUUCCUGUGACUUUCAGUGAUAUGCUAUUGCUAUUUCCUUGACUUUUCUGAAAAUAAAGUAGGAUUUUUAUUACAGAGAAUAAUUCAAUUCUAACGUGAUUCCUUUUCUCUGUCUAUAGGGUUUGUUUGGAGAAAUGGUAUAUUACUCUAAAUACAAAUACCUGCAUGUGUUCCGUCUUUUUUAAUGCAUACCUUGAUGUGUUCUGUACAUUUAUUAUGUGGAGAUUGGUGGAUUGACUGAGGGCACAGACUAAAUGGACUAUUCACCAGAAUAUCAGGGUCUAAAAGGAUUUGCCGGAAAAUCAGGUCCUGUUGGAGUGAGAGGCCUGCCUGUGAGUAUGACCUUCCUCGCGUCACCCCACAUUACCAGCUGCGUUACCUCUAUUUAAUGAAAUAAAAAGGAUUCCUGACCCAAUCUACAUUUUAGUCAUUUAGUAAACAUGCAUAUCCAGAGCGACGUACAAUUAGUGCAUUCAUCUUGAGAUAGCUACAUGUAGGUGGGACAUAUCUCAGUCAUAGUAAGGUUCAGAGAGGGGCAGGGACUCUGCAGGGACUCUGCUGUCCUAGGCAUCAGGGUAAGCUGGCUCCGCCAUUGGGGUGCCAGGACAGAGAAGAACACUGACUGGGCUGACCGGGAGCUGACCUCUUGUGGCAGAACGAAGUGCUCGGGUGUGUUGGGAUGUAGGGUUUGAGCAUAGCCUGAAGGUAGGAAGCAUCCCGGGCAGUGAGUUUAACUUUCAUAUUGUGCUUGUUUUUCCUUUUAUAUAUCAGGACCUCCUGGAACCUCUCUGAACCUUACUCUGAACCUUACUCUGAACCUUACCUUACUCUGAACCUUACUCUGAACCUUACUCUGAACCUUACUCUGAACCUUACUCUGAACCCUACCUUACUCUGAACCUUACUCUGAACCUUACUCUGAACCUUACUCUGAACCUUACUCUGAACCUUACUCUGAACCUUACCUUACUCUGGCACAGAUCAAGGCAAGUUGUUGGUAAUCUGUCAAAGCAA